UACGUAGGGGGCGAGCGUUGUCCGGAAUCAUUGGGCGUAAAGAGCGUGUAGGCGGCUUGGCAAGUCUGACGUGAAAGCCCGCGGCUCAACCGCGGAUUGUCGUUGGAAACUGCCUCGCUAGAGUCCGGAAGAGGAGAGCGGAAUUCCUGGUGUAGCGGUGGAAUGCGCAGAUAUCAGGAAGAACACCCGUGGCGAAGGCGGCUCUCUGGGACGGUACUGACGCUGAGACGCGAA
rnacentral:rRNA from 1 species